rnacentral:rRNA from 1 species
AUUGAACGCUGGCGGCAUGCUUUACACAUGCAAGUCGAACGGUAACAGGCCGCAAGGUGCUGACGAGUGGCGAACGGGUGAGUAAUGCAUCGGAACGUGCCCAGUCGUGGGGGAUAACGCAGCGAAAGCUGCGCUAAUACCGCAUACGAUCUAUGGAUGAAAGCGGGGGACCGUAAGGCCUCGCGCGAUUGGAGCGGCCGAUGUCAGAUUAGGUAGUUGGUGGGGUAAAGGCUCACCAAGCCAACGAUCUGUAGCUGGUCUGAGAGGACGACCAGCCGCACUGGGACUGAGACACGGCCCAGACUCCUACGGGAGGCAGCAGUGGGGAAUUUUGGACAAUGGGCGCAAGCCUGAUCCAGCAAUGCCGCGUGCAGGAAGAAGGCCUUCGGGUUGUAAACUGCUUUUGUACGGAACGAAACGGUCCUGGUUAAUACCCGGGGCUAAUGACGGUACCGUAAGAAUAAGCACCGGCCAACUACGUGCCAGCAGCCGCCGUAAGAC